AAAGGAGAAAUAUUCUUGGUUAUACUUUAUUACACCGAAAAAUAAAAAUAAUAAAAUGACAAUUUUGAAUGGUCAAUGAUAGUGCAAACCCCAUCCUCCUUGUUAUCACUGUAAACCAUCGAACAAAUCAACUAGGGAGAGAAAACAAAAAUAUUAUAGCCCAAAUGUAAAGUUUAUUACAUGGAUACAAUCCAAUUCUUUGGUUAAAAAGUUCUUUCUUUAAUCUAACUGAAUCAACCCAGCAAAUUACGCAACAAACUUUAAACUAACGUUUACAUGUAGCUUCCUAAAAAAGAGAGCAACAUAAGCACAUGAGAGUAAUUUUUUUUUCGAAUACCAAUACUAAGACAUAAAACAGAAUGAAGUAGUGGUCUGCAAUAUCAAAUUCACGGGGCCUUUGAAGUUGAAUCUUCAAAAAUGCAUUUGAAAUUAAAUAUCAAGUGCAUGCAUAAUAAGAACAUUCACAACAGCGCCGAAAAUUCGAAUCCCAGCCACAAACUCCAAUUUAAAACUUCAUUUCAAGAACAAAGCUAAAAUAAACAACCUCAGGAUAGGCCCUUGUACAUCUUUCGGUAUUUUUUUUUUUAAAAAAAAAAAAUUUGUAGACUAAAAAAAUGAAGAGAAAAGAAGAACUUCAAAACCCUAGAAAUUUACUCUGCUAAUGUUCUGAGAAUUUUUCCUCCAAUUUUUUUUUUAUAUCAUCCCCCCUUGCAUAUAAGACUCACCUCAUAUAUACAGCCUUCAAAAGUUCUCGAAUCUUCUCUAAAAAAUCCAAAAUCCUUCAGAUUUUUUGAACAAUUUUUGGACAAAUGGAGGGCAUGGAUCAAUUUUCAUCAAUCAACGGCCCCGAUUAAUCCAGCAAUCGUCCUUCUUCGUACGAAAGUUGUACAAUUUCUGAGAAAAUUUGUAUACAAAUCUGUUGAGGAUAAGGUGACGUGGAGAGGGGGACCAACGAGUGAACUCGUAAACGAUUUAUGGCGAGUUUGAAACGAUUUGGGUGCGAAAUCGGUUUGAGAAGACGAUGAACAACAUAGAAGGCGCCGCCUCUGUUUGGUCUCUACGGUUAGGGAUUUUUGGGGGAAUAUGAUAUAAGGUUG
rnacentral:lncRNA from 1 species